GUGCCAGCAGCCGCGGUAAUACGUAGGUGGCGAGCGUUAUCCGGAAUUAUUGGGCGUAAAGCGCGCGCAGGCGGUUUCUUAAGUCUGAUGUGAAAGCCCACGGCUCAACCGUGGAGGGUCAUUGGAAACUGGGAAACUUGAGUGCAGAAGAGGAAAGCGGAAUUCCACGUGUAGCGGUGAAAUGCGUAGAGAUGUGGAGGAACACCAGUGGCGAAGGCGGCUUUCUGGUCUGUAACUGACGCUGAGGCGCGAAAGCGUGGGGAGCAAACAGGAUUAGAUACCCUGGUAGUCC
rnacentral:rRNA from 1 species